rnacentral:rRNA from 1 species
UACGUAGGGGGCAAGCGUUGUCCGGAAUCAUUGGGCGUAAAGAGCGUGUAGGCGGCCCGGUCAGUCCGCCGUGAAAGUCCAGGGCUCAACCCUGGAAUGCCGGUGGAUACUGCCGGGCUGGAGUCCGGAAGAGGCGAGUGGAAUUCCUGGUGUAGCGGUGAAAUGCGCAGAUAUCAGGAGGAACACCGACGGCGAAGGCAGCUCGCUGGGACGGUACUGACGCUGAGACGCGAAAGCGUGGGGAGCAAACAGG